rnacentral:lncRNA from 1 species
CAGAAUUCCCUGUUAGUUGGAGGAGGGGCACUUUUGUUCUGGGUAAGCCUUCACUUGAUUGGAUGAGGCCCACCCCCAUUAUGGAGUGUAAUCUGCUUCACUCAGAUUUAAAUAUUAAUUUAAAUUUAAUUAUUAAUCUCAUUCAAAAAGAUGCCAUCACAGCUGCACCCAGGAUAGUAUUGAACCAAACAUCUGAUCCAGCCGAGCCAACGCACACAAUUAACCACCAGAUUCAGGAAGCCGGGAGAGGCCGGCCGGGAAUGGGGAUGCUUUCUGCGCACAGGUCCCAGAUGUACUGUGACGUCCUGCUUCUCCCAAUCUUGCUCAGACUCUUCCCUCGAUCUGCAAUUCUCUUCUUUUUUUUGCCCAUCAUAAUCCUAUUCAUUCUUGGAGCAUGAAUCCAGUCUCCUCCAGGAAGCCCACUGUGAAUGCCCCAGCUGGACUGUUUCUCUGAGCCCCAGUGACACCCUGGAUGUGCUGUGCUUUGAUUGUGUCCUCGCCUGUGAGCUCUGGAGGUGGGGCUGCGCCUGGUCCUACGUUCCCAUCCCAGGGCCUGACAUGUCACAGGCGCUCCACUGCUGAUGGAGAGAGGGGACGGCCACCCCACCCCACGCAGGAGGACAGGAGGCCCACCCUCUCCCUCUGAGGAGCCGCUCCCACAGGUGAAAAGAGCCUGGAG